GACACCAUUGAUCUUAAAUGGACCUGCAGCAGGCAGCAACAUAAAUUACCUAACGAAGCAUAUGUCAAUAAUUUUCCUGUUUGCCUGUAGAGCUUGUGCACACAACAAUCAUGCCCUUGCAUGAGAAGCAGGCCUUCAAGUCACAAAAGUUCUGCUCAUUAAUUAAAUAGAUUGUUUCCUAAGAAGGUUUAAGUGCUUCCAAUAUGUGUGUGUGUGUGUG
rnacentral:misc_RNA from 1 species